CCAAGAGCUGACACUCUUGGCUGAGAUAUUUCGCCCCUAUGGGGCU
rnacentral:sRNA from 1 species